ensembl:lncRNA
CCAGGAGCAGCCCCCAACUUUGGGGAAAACUUGUCUUUGUGUAGUGAAGACUGGGUGUGAUGAUCCCAUUGACGACCAUCGAGGUUUCACCAUGAAAAUAAGCCUCCGCUCUGGCCAGUAGGGAGUGUUAAUAAUGGGGAAAACGCUUAUGUUGUAAUGUUAAGCGAAAUAGAGCAGGGCACCAAGUUAUGUAUACAGUGCGAAUACAACUGUGUAAACAGAGACGGAGAGAGAGAGCGUGCGAGUGAGCGAGUCCAAGGAAAUACACCAUGAUGUUAAUACUGCUUGGCUUUGGGAGCUUUGGGAACGUCUGAUCAAAGAAACCCAUGUUCCUCCAACCAGUGGCUGCUAUCUUGAUUAACACGUCUUCUCUCACCAUUAACGAGAUAAAUGUUAAACAGAAACUGGUGGGAGUGAUUGUCAGUUGGGUAAUCAGUGGAUGAAAUCACCUACGAAAUGAAAACAAAAAUCAAAAUUCCACAAACUACAUCAGAAAUGAAUUUCCUCUUAGGGACAUGUGAAGAAAUAUCCUGGAUCCGUCUAGAAAGGCUGGUGUCCAGGGAGGUGGCCUACAGCUCAGAGAUGACCAUCUGGCCUGAACUUAGCAAGGACCUUAUUGCAAUUUCUAGUAUGAAAUUGUGGGAUCGUUCUGCCAGAAGCUGUUAGUGCCCUCAUCAAUUUUUUUAAAAACAUUAUAUUUUAUUGAAUUUGUAUAAUGUUUUUUGUAGACAAUGGGAUUAACUUUCUUUCUUUCUUUCUUUCUUUCUUUCUUUCUCUCUUUCUCUCUUUCUCUCUCUCUUUCUCUCUUUCUUUCUCUCUCUCUCUCUUUCUUUCUUUGUCUC